GUACAGACAUCCUUCAUUUUUCCUUUCUCCUCAAUUCCCACAUCCGAUUCUAACAAGAUGAAAAAGUCUGUAUUGCCCAGAUCUUGGGAAAAACAUUGGGAAAGAGAGGAGGAAGUCAGGUAGUAUCAGGACAGCAGUUACAAGUCACACCAGCCUUAAGGAGGCAGAUUUCAGCCCCAUCAGCAGAGGUGGCAGCAGCCAGGACAGAAAACAUUGUCCCCGCUGGAAGCCAAAAUAGGUUGCUGCUUGUGGUCACUAUUGGAGAUGCAGCAAGCUCCUGGGAGCCAUCUGCUAUAGAAGCUGAACAAGUAGUAUGCUGGCAAGAUGACUAGCCAUUCAAGAACUUAUUCUCAACUCAAGAGGCCCUGGAGAAACUCUUUAAAAUGGCUGAAGGACACUUUGAGGCAAAUGAGGCUGAGGAUAUAUGGAUUAUAUUUUGAAUUAUUUUGAAUCUUAUUGAAUUUUAUAUCCAUUCCAUGGACUCAUCAUUACCUCUAGAAAUAAAGCCAAUUGAUAUUUAGGGCAAGGAUGAAGAUAACAUUGGAAAAUUUGCACGUGGAGGUAGAUAUAGACUUCCAGAAGCCUCUAAGAAUUGUGAGAUUCAAAAUAACUGUGAAAAAAUAAACACACAUAAAAUUGAAAAGA
rnacentral:lncRNA from 1 species